rnacentral:sRNA from 1 species
AUGGGCUACCGUCAUGUGACGUUUGUUGUCGUCUGCCAUUGUAGUUUCGUUAAAACAAGUAAAAUAACAAAGAUGGGUAGAAAAGGUCAGGAACUGUCAACAGAUGUCAAAAACAUGAUUGUGGAAAUGUUCCAGAAUGGAUUUUCUCGACGAAAAAUCGCUGACAUACUUAGAAUUCCCAAGUCAACAGUUAUUGACAAUGUUCGAAAAUUUUUAGACACUGGUUCUGUGGAGAAUAAACCCAGAAGUGGCCGACCAUUGUUUGUAAAACCAAGCGACUACCGCAAGCUUGAACGCAUUGUAAAGACAAGUCGGAGGAGCUCUUUAUGUGACAUAACAAACAAGUUUAAUGAGGAAAAUUGUGUUCCCGUGUCUAAACGUACCAUCCAGCACCAUUUACAUAAACAUGGGUAUCACAGGUGUGUAAAUAAGAAAAAAAUCGUGAUCCGGGAAGUCAAUCGGAAAAAAAGACUUGCAUGGUGCAGAGAAAAAAGGAGAUGGACGGUUAAUAACAACUGGAAAAAGGUUAUUUUCUCUGAUGAAAGUAAAAUCAUGAUUGGACAUGAUGAACGUGUGUACGUAUGGCGAAAAAGAGACGAGGGGUGGAGACCGGACCUUGUGCAACCGCGGACUUCACAAACUAAAUAUCAAGUCAUGAUUUGGGGUUGUAUUUGCUGGAAUGGCGUCGGUACACUUACUCCUGUAGAAGGCAAUAUUAAUGCUGUCAAAUAUCAAGAAAUACUUGAUGAACAUUUGUGGCCAGUGAUAGCUCGGCAUUUUCCGGGAGGAAAUUAUUUAUUCCAGGAUGACAACGCCCCUGUCCAUCGUGCACGGUCCACCCAAGAGUUUGUAGCUCGGAACGGAAUAACCGGUAUGAGCUGGCCUGCACAGUCCCCCGACUUAAAUAUAAUCGAAAACGUUUGGUUACAUGUAAAAAGAAAACUUCAAACACGUACUGGGAUGAUUAAAUCUAAAAAUGAAUUAUUCCAAGAAAUCCACCGUAUUUGGGUCAGUAUUUCCCCUGCCUAUAUUCAGUGCUUAUACAAGUCGAUUCCGAAAAGGAUAUUAAAUGUAAUCAGGCUAAAAGGACACUUAACAAAGUAUUAG